rnacentral:lncRNA from 1 species
CAACGGCCUUAGGCACAAAACUUUGUUUCAUAAACCCAACGUGGAAGAUUUCUGCAAUAAACCAUCGAAAUAUGUGAUGCUGAACGUACAGGAGGUAGACACUAACAUCUCGUUGAUUAUUACUCAGAUCUUGUUCCACAAGCACUCUCCAGUUAACCACUGUUAUGAGCGCCUCUGCUCUGAACCCUUGGAGACCCCAACCCAAGACAGAGGGUUGUGUAGUGAAAAUAUUGAACACAGAAGCAGUGGAUGUGAAACAAUUGAGAAAAUCGUUCUGGCAAGAAUGUGUGUUCAACACCAACCUUCCAGCUCCUUCCUAGCAACCACAUGAGUGAGUACUUGAAUUCCUGCACACU